GGUUUUCUGGAGAGUCCAGGAUGUGGACUUGAAACUCUGAGAUUGAUAGACUGUGGUUUGUCAGGGAUCAGCUGUGAAUAUCUGGCAGCAGCUCUGAAGUCCAACCCCUCCCAUCUGAGAGAGCUGGACCUGAAAAGAAACAACCUGGGGGAUCCAGAUGUGAAGCAGCUGUCUGAUCUUCAGCAGAGUCCAGACUGCAGACUGGAGACUCUGAGGUUGAAUAGCAGCAGCAGCUUGUGUGACUGACAGAGGAAUGAGAAGAAGUGCAGAUGACUG